rnacentral:rRNA from 1 species
AUUGAACGCUGGCGGCAGGCUUAACACAUGCAAGUCGAGCGGAGCAGGGGACGGGUGCGUAAUGCCUAUGAAUCUGCCUGGUCGUGGGGGAUAACGUUCGGAAACGGGCGCUAAUACUGCAUACUCUUGGAUGAGCCUAUGUCGGAGUAGCAAGUUGGUGGGGUAAGGGCCUACCAGGGCGACGAUCCGUAACUGGUCUGAGAGGAUGAUCAGUCACACUGGAACUGAGACACGGUCCAGACUCCUACGGGAGGCAGCAGUGGGGAAUAUUGGACAAUGGGCGAAAGCCUGAUCCAGCCAUGCCGCGUGUAUGAAGAAGGCCUUCGGGUUGUAAAGUACUUUCAGCGGGGAGGCGUUACCCGCAGAAGAAGCACCGGCUAACUCCGUGCCAGCAGCCGCGGUAAUAC